UCAAAGGAAGUUACGACGGGGGCCCGCACAAGCGGUGGAGCAUGUGGUUAAUUCGAAGCAACGCGAAGAACCUUACCAGGUCUUGACAUCCCUGACAACCCGAGAGAUCGGGCGUUCCCCUUCGGGGGACAGGGUGACAGGUGGUGCAUGGUUGUCGUCAGCUCGUGUCGUGAGAUGUUGGGUUAAGUCCCGCAACGAGCGCAACCCUCGACCUUAGUUGCCAGCAUUCAGUUGGGCACUCUAAGGUGACUGCCGGCUAAAAGUCGGAGGAAGGUGGGGAUGACGUCAAAUCAUCAUGCCCCUUAUGACCUGGGCUACACACGUGCUACAAUGGGCGGUACAAAGGGUCGCGAACCCGCGAGGGGGAGCCAAUCCCAAAAAGCCGCUCUCAGUUCGGAUUGCAGGCUGCAACUCGCCUGCAUGAAGUCGGAAUCGCUAGUAAUCGCAGGUCAGCAUACUGCGGUGAAUACCGGUUCCCGGGCCUU
rnacentral:rRNA from 1 species